AACGAACGCUGGCGGCGUGCUUAACACAUGCAAGUCGAACGCGAAAGGGACUUCGGUCCUGAGUAAAGUGGCGCACGGGUGAGUAACACGUGGAUAAUCUACCCAGUACUCUGGGAUAACAUCUCGAAAGGGGUGCUAAUACCGGAUAAGCUCACGGGAACUUCGGUUCUUGCGGGAAAAGGUGGGGACCUUUUAGGCCUACUGAUACUGGAUGAGUCCGCGGCCCAUUAGCUAGUUGGUGAGGUAAUGGCCCACCAAGGCAUUGAUGGGUAGCCGGCCUUAGCGGGUGUCCGGCCACACUGGGACUGAGAUACGGCCCAGACUCCUACGGGAGGCAG
rnacentral:rRNA from 1 species